AUUGGCAUGGAAUUCGUUUAUAUAGUCGGUUGUAAUUGGAGUUACUUCAUACCUGAAAAGAAUGUUUCCCAUUGAAGUCUGCCAGACUGUAUUCAAAGUGACAAAUCACACAUAUCGUCUACGUACGGUAGGUACGGUGUCAUGCUCUCAAGCGACGUAAGGGUGGCUAUUCAACACAGCAGCCCUUGAUAAGGACUUGUGACAACUACAGGUGGAAGUAGCUGGUUGCAAUACAUCUACUGGAGAAGAAAAUUGAGGCUGUCAAACUAACUGAAGUUAUGCUUGGGACAGCGCUUGCCAGUUCUAUAUUGGUGGUCUUUUGUCUUCUCUGUGACCCUGCCAAGGCUAAGGAGGAAGAAGCCAUAGUUGAUGUUGUACAUGGUGUCUGCAUGUACCUGCACACAUCGAUUCCGGACGGCCAGACGAGACAAAUGAUAUUCAUGAAGUGUGCAACGGCAACCUGUAAAGCGGCCGAACGAAAAGUGUUAGUGAAGUCUUGUGAUCCCGCUCCGCCCGGAUGCUUCAAUAGAGCUAGUGGUGAAUACCCCGAUUGUUGCUCCAAACCUAUAUGCCCAGGUGGACAGAGUGGAUGAGUUUUCGCGGGCGUGUGUUGUUUUGCAGGUUAUGAAUAAAGCAUUCGCCAAAAGUG